UACGUAGGGGGGCAAGCGUUGUCCGGAUUCAUUGGGCGUAAAGAGCGUGUAGGCGGCCAGACAGGUCUGCUGUGAAAACUCGAGGCUCAACCUCGAGACGCCGGUGGAAACCGUCUGGCUAGAGUCCGGAAGAGGAGAGUGGAAUUCCUGGUGUAGCGGUGAAAUGCGCAGAUAUCAGGAAGAACACCCGUGGCUAAGGCGGCUCUCUAGUACGGUACUGACGCUGAGACGCGAAAGCGUGGGGAGCGAACAGG
rnacentral:rRNA from 1 species